rnacentral:rRNA from 1 species
AUUGAGUGCUAAAAGAAUGGAAUUACAAAAAAAGGCUUUUUUAAUUAAAAAUUAAAAUUAUUUUUUUUUGUGAAGAAACAAAAAUUUAAAUUAAAGACAAGAAGACCCUAAGAAUUUUUUUUUUUAAAAAUUUUUAUUUAAAAAUUUAAUUGGGGCGAUUAAUUAAUAUUAAAAACUUUAUUAAUAAA